rnacentral:rRNA from 1 species
GGAGGAUCCGAGCGUNAUCCGGAUCUANNGGGUNUAAAGGGAGCGUAGGUGGAUNGUUAAGNCAGUCGUGAAAGNNUGCGGCUCAACCGUAAAANNGCAGUNGAAACNGGCAGUCUNGAGUACAGUAGAGGUGGGCGGAAUUCGUGGUGUAGCGGUGAAAUGCUUAGAUAUCACGAAGAACUCCGAUNGCGAAGGCAGCUCACUAGACUGCAACUGACACUGAUGCUCGAAAGUGUGGGUAUCAAACAGGAUUAGAUACCCUGGUAGUCCGCACGGUAAACGAUGGAUGCCCGCUGUUGGUCUGAAUAGGUCAGCGGCCAAGCGAAAGCAUUAAGCAUCCCACCUGGGGAGU